GCCAUCCAUGCUGCUCCUCCACAGAGCCUUCUUUGCUCUCCAAGCUCUAUUGGAACUGAGUCUUCCUUGGUGGUCCCCCAUCCAAAUACAAAGCCUGCUUAGCUUCUGAGAUCUGACAAGAUUGGGUUAUACCUACUGCAACUAUAAUUCCCAGCGAUCCACCAGAUAUGAAGUUUCUUCAUUUUCUCUUGAUUGCCUUCUUCUUGAUACUUAUGCCCACUCCAGGAUUAGCCCCUGAUUCCCCAUGGAAUCCAGAAAGCUGUCAUGAAAAGGGAGGUUUCUGUUAUGCCAUGAACUGCCCCUGGUGUUUUAGCUCCUAUGGGGCAUGUAGUGUGGCUGAGAAGUGCUGUAUGAGGGAGAGCUGGCGCCCUGAAUGUGCAGAAGCCACUACACCAGCAGGGAUUGGUAGCCCUACGACAUCAGCACCUUCGGCUCCAAAAUCUACUUCAUCCCAGAAACCUCUUGGCAAUACUAGGAAACAGUGCUAAACUGGCCAUUACUACUACCCUGUCUGUGGGUCUGUCCACAUACUUACCGAAUUACCCAUCAGUGUCUGGUGUUCCUCAUUAAUGGCCUGGUUAAAUAGCCCUGUUUUGCCUUUUAGAAAGUUCCUUCUAAUGUUUGUCUAUCUGUUAUGACUCUGUUAUGACAGACCCAUUUGCCACCCUAUCUAGCUUGUAGUACUGUUGUCAACUUUGAACUUGUGGAGCAACAGAAUGUAAAUCUGAUAGCGUUUGUUUGUCAUUUAUGGAUAAGGAACAUCUAUCCUUGGA